UGGGGAAUUUUGGACAAUGGGCGCAAGCCUGAUCCAGCAAUGCCGCGUGCAGGAUGAAGGCCUUCGGGUUGUAAACUGCUUUUGUACGGAACGAAACGGCUCUGGUUAAUACCUGGGGCUAAUGACGGUACCGUAAGAAUAAGCACCGGCUAACUACGUGCCAGCAGCCGCGGUAAUACGUAGGGUGCGAGCGUUAAUCGGAAUUACUGGGCGUAAAGCGUGCGCAGGCGGAUAUAUAAGACAGAUGUGAAAUCCCCGGGCUCAACCUGGGACCUGCAUUUGUGACUGUAUAGCUAGAGUACGGCAGAGGGGGAUGGAAUUCCGCGUGUAGCAGUGAAAUGCGUAGAUAUGCGGAGGAACACCGAUGGCGAAGGCAAUCCCCUGGGCCUGCACUGACGCUCAUGCACGAAAGCGUGGGGAGCAAACA
rnacentral:rRNA from 1 species